GCUAACUCCAUUACACGCUUUCUCAUCAUUGCCUGAAUAUUUCUCUCAGCCAAGAGAAGGAAUAAACCAACCCGCCAAAGCUGCACACUCAAGUUUUAAGUGCGCUGGAGAGUGAAGCCAAAUAGAAGUCAUUCAUUUAAGAGCUGCAGUAAAGUGGCAACUGCGUUUUGGUUGUUGCCAUGGUUCAGAUCCACUCAACUUUAAAUUUCUAGUCAUUCUCAGAAUACCCCAAAGCAUUCUACCUUUAGCUAUCUCAAAUUCAUUUAUUUCUGACUAUUUUAUUGCUCACGUACUCCGUGAUGGGCACAGUGCUGGACAUCUGGGAAGAUGGCACUGCCUCUCUUCUUCGUCACUUUUAAGCCAGGGUUAACCACCCUGUCAUUGAAAUACUUUCUUUUAUUGGAUUCUGGUUGUCUUCAGCAUGUAACUGACAACUAAAGCCAUGGGCAUGGAUAAGAGUGUAGAGGGAAAAGAGAAAAGAAAAGAAGCAAAGAGGAGGGUGGUGGAGGGAAGAGGGGUCAUUGACCAUAAGCGAGGCAUUCUAAUUAAAAGGGAGAACAUACAAGAACUUCAAAUCCUAGCACCUACCCACUACACACUCCCAGUUUCCCCUCUGCCCUACCACCCAUCCUCCUGAUGCUUAUCUUAGAUAAAAAUUCUGAAAUGGGUCAAGCAGGCCCAGCUCGGCACUGAGUACCAGUUCAGGAGACAGCCACCAGGACCCUCAGCUGACAGCAAUUACAGGUCCGAGACAUUUUCCUCUGGCACUGUAUUGUAUUAACUUUUUUUUUUGUUUCCUUUAAAUUACAGGGUGACCUGCUUUCAGUUGGGAAGUUAUAACCAGUGGCCGAAUGAGAACAAUAUUUUCCCUAUAAAAAGAACAGAAGAGCCAAGGAUUCUUCAAAGAUUCCUGGGCACUGAGAAAACAAACUCCUGAGAUUGCCAUAUGAACCCAGCCCAGCCAGCCUACUAGAGAAUGAGAGACCACAUGGGGAAGAGCUUACCAGCUGUUCUGGGCCAGGGGUAAAGGCAAAGCCUUCCAACAAGCUUUUUGGCAUUACAGAGCCGAGAGCCAUCUGUUUGGCUGUAGGCUAUUCACCAUGGACCUGGCAAGUAACACGUUUCUGACCAGUGGAUGAUAAUUUGAUAGCUCAUCAUUACCCAAUAAAUAUGCUAAUCAUCACCCCUGAAGUGGGACUAAAACAGUAAUUUGGUUGCAAAACAUUUAGUGCAUGUCUAGAAGAUACAGAAUUAAUGUGAUUCAGGCUUAACUUUAUAAAACUGUCAUUUUGUCAUUUAUCCCAUUUCACUUGCAACCACACUUUGAUCUAUCCAUGAUCAUGCACAGGAGAUUAAAUGGUACUCCCUGUUUUCUGAUAAAUAAGUAGAUACUCACUUUCUCUGACAUGUUAUCAUUUUACCUCUUUCCCAUCUAGCUUUGUCAGGAUAAAUUUUCCUCUUCGAUAGUUCUUAUAGAUUACCCUAGAAGUCUGAGAGAGAAUAAUGAGACAGAAGUUUGGAUCAAGAAACCAUUUAUUCAUUUGUCCAGCAUUUGACCAUCCAAAUUGUACAACUUUCAAAAAUCCCUAUGGCUGGAAAAGGCUUGGAGGUUUCUCUCUCCAUUACGAUUCAUGCACCUGCUUCCUCUUCUGCAACCACCCCUAACUUUCCUGCAGAACUACCAUUAGAUAAAUAAAGUUUAUUUUAUUUCAAGAUUUUUAAAGACAGGUGUGUAUGAGGAUGGAGCAGACACAUCCUCAGAAGCCGGAGGGCAUCAUUUUUGUUCAUAAGAGCAAAGAUGCAUCUCAGAGCUGA
rnacentral:lncRNA from 1 species